rnacentral:rRNA from 1 species
UACGUAGGUGACAAGCGUUGUCCGGAUUUACUGGGCGUAAAGAGCGCGCAGGCGGUCGAUCAAGUCGAGUGUGAAAGCCCCCCGGCUCAACUGGGGAGGGUCAUUCGAUACUGAUCGACUCGAAGGCAGGAGAGGGUAGUGGAAUUCCCGGUGUAGUGGUGAAAUGCGUAGAGAUUUGGAGGAACACCAGUGGCGAAGGCGGGUCUCUGGGCAACAACUGACGCUGAGGAGCGAAAGCGUGGGGAGCGAACAGG